rnacentral:rRNA from 1 species
UACGUAGGGUGCGAGCGUUGUCCGGAAUUACUGGGCGUAAAGAGCUCGUAGGUGGUUUGUCGCGUUGUCCGUGAAAACUCACAGCUUAACUGUGGGCGUGCGGGCGAUACGGGCAGACUGGAGUACUGCAGGGGAGACUGGAAUUCCUGGUGUAGCGGUGGAAUGCGCAGAUAUCAGGAGGAACACCGGUGGCGAAGGCGGUUCUCUGGGCCUGUACUGACGCUGAGGAGCGAAAGCGUGGGGAGCGAACAGG